GAAACGCAGUAGGAGGAGUGACGGGAACCGGGAGCCGGCUCCAUGCGCCUGGAGCGCGCGGGUCCCAGCGCCCAUCGGCCCGGGGUCCGAGGGGCCCGCUGCCCGGGCUCGCUGCGUGGUGCUACCGCCCCCGGGCCCGCUGCGCCGCGUCGGAGCCCCAGCAGACUUUGAGAGGCGUGUGCGACAGUGCGCGUCCUCUCCUGCCUCUGGAUGUUUCCUUGGAGCCUCUGGCCUUCGGGAAGACCGGUGCCAUCCAGAUUCCAACAGUGACUUUUAGCUCUGAGAAGUCCAAUACUACAGCCCUGGCUGAGUUCGGAAAAUACAUUCAUAAAGUGCCACUGGGUUAGAGUCUCCCCGACCAAGCUGGUCUCAGCAAGUGGUCUCCAUCAUGGGGGCUCGAAUCCAGGUUGAAGGGUCACCAGAGUGAUGGUUGGAGAACAUGGAACUAGCUGGAGGACACCUGAGUACUCUUAAAGCAAACCCCGUGGCCAAAAUCAAUAACCAAUUUGGAUACCAUCAAGACACCUGAAACCUUAUCAUGAGCCAGAUGCUGAGGAAGAGAUUCCAGGAGGAUCCUGAGGACCCCCUGGUUGCAGCCACGUCGAGGCUGACACUGAGGAGGACCCCAACUGUCAUGAGCAACACCCGUCGAACACAGCCAUCCACCUGGGGACAAAUCAAGAAGCUGUCACAGAUGAUGGAAGAAAACCUGAGGAAAGCGGGACAACCAAUCACAAUGAGUAAUUUGGUGAUCUAUCACAGUGAUGAUCACCAUUGCCAUGAGUAUUCCUUCAACAAGGGCUGACACAGAGAACAAUUAUACUUAUUGGGCAUAUUUAUCAAUCUUGUCUGGCAAUAAUGCCUAGAUGAUUUCACUCUAUGGCACAGUUACACAUGCUUUCUGAUCUCAGUAUUUACCAUAAUAAAUCUGCUCCUAUAAUUGAGGCAUACCACCCUCAAAAACCUAUUUGUAAACAAAAUAGAACCUGGCCAGAAAUAAUGAACAACUUGUUUAGUAAGAUUGCAUUGCAGAACAGGCAGAGAUGCUACGCAAUGAUUCCUAUGGGAUCAUUGAUUGGUCCCCUAAGGGGAUGUUUAGCUUAAAUUGCACCUCUCAGUCUGCAUGCCAUGGCCACACUAGUUCAGAUGGUCUGAACAAAGUGGUCAGAUGGCAGAAAUGAUAAGAAGUAUGGCAAAAGUUCCUAUUGUCUGGAACCAUGGCAGUAUAGUGUCACCUCAACCUCAAAUGAUAUGGCUCAUUGUAGGAGCUAAACAUAAGGAUUUGUGGAAACUAUUAAUAGCUCUUAAUAAGAUCAAAAUUUGGGAAAGAAUAAAAAAAGCAUCUAGAAAGACACUCUACAAACUUGUCUUUGGAUAUUACAAAAUUAAAAGAACAAAUAUUUAAAGCAUCCCAGGUACACCUGACCUUAAUGACAGAAACUGGAGUGCUUGAAGGAGCUGCAGACAGAUUAGCAGCUAGUAACCCAUUAAAAUGGAUAAAAACACUUGGAAGCUCUGUGAUUUCAAUGAUGAUUGUGCUUUUAAUCGGUAUUGUUUGUCUUUGUAUAGUGUGCAGAUGUGGAUCCUGACUCCUGUGAGAAGUAGCUCACAGUGUCAAAGCUGCCUUUGCUUUUAUCGAUUUGCAAAUCAAAUAAGGGGGACAUAUUGGGAACAGCACCCCCCCCCCCAAAAUCUGGCCAUAAACUGGUCCCAAAACUGGCCAUAAACAAAAUCUCUGCAGCACUGACAUGUUCAUGAUGGUCUUAAUGCCCACGCUGGAAGGUUGUGGGUUUACCAGAAUGAGAGCAAGGAACACCUGGCCCACCCAGGGUGGAAAACCACUUAAAGGCAUUCUUAAACCACAAACAAUAGCAUGAGUGAUCUGUGCCUUAAGGCUGUGCUACUGCUGCAGAUAACUAGCCCAACCCAUCCCUUUAUUUCAGCCCAUCCCUUCGUUUCCCAUAAGGGAUACUUUUAAUUAAUCUAAUAUGUAUAGAAAGAAUGCUAAUGACUGGCUUGCUGUUAAUAAAUAACGUGGGUAAAUCUCUGUUGGAGGCUCUCAGCUCUGAAGGCUGUGAGACCCCGGAUUUCCCACUUCACACCUCUGUAUUUCUGUGUGUCUGUCUUUAAUUCCUUUAGCACCACUGGGUUAGGGUCUCCCCGACCGAGCUGGUCUUUGCACUUCUCACUUCUGGAUAUAGGCCUCCCUAGAGGGUUUUUUUUUUCUUUUUUGAUAGGAUCUUGCUCUUUCAUCCAGGCUGGUGUGCUGUAGUGUAUUCAUGGCUUGCUGCAGUCUUGAUCUCCCAGACUCAAGUAAUCCUCCCAUCUCAGCCUCCUGAAUAGCUAGGACCACAGGCCUGUGCCACCAUGUCUGGCUACUUUAAUUUUUUUUCCCUUAGAGACAGAGUCUCACUAUGUUGCCCAGGCUGGUCUCACAUUCCUGCACUCGUCAUCUUCCUGCCUUGGCCUUCCAAAGUGCUGAGAUUACAGGCAUGAAACACUACACCUGGCCAUCCCUGGAGUAUUUCUUCCUUCCUUCCUUCCUUGCUUCCUUCCUUCCUUUUUUCUUUUCCUCCCUCCCUCUCUCUUUCUUUCUUUGUUUCUUUUUCUCCCUUUCUUCCUUUCUUUCUUUCUUUUCUUUCUUUCUUCCUUCCUUUCUUUUUCUUUCUCUCUUUCUUUCUUCUUUCCUUCCUCCUUCCCUCCUUCCCUCCCCUCCCUCCCCCUCCCCUCCCUUCCUUCCUUCCUUCUUUCCUUCCUUCCUUCCUUUCUUCCUUCCUUCUUUCCUGUCUUAUUUCAAAACACAUGUCUUC
rnacentral:lncRNA from 1 species